GUAAUUAUCUCAUUUUUUUUAUUGCGUGUGUAGAAGUGUUUUGGUAACUCUUUAGGCAUAGUAGGACGAUAUGAGGCGAGACGAUGAUGACAGAUACAGGAGGGGAGGGGCCCGCAACGGUGGGCCCUCAUUUGACAGAUUCAACACAGAUUAUCUAG
rnacentral:sRNA from 1 species